rnacentral:tRNA from 5 species
ACUUGAGUAGCUCAGUUGGUAGAGCAGUGGUCUCCAAAACCAAAGGUCGUAGGUUCGAGUCCUACCUCUCGUG